rnacentral:rRNA from 1 species
CCUACGGGUGGCUGCAGUGAGGAAUAUUGGUCAAUGGACGAGAGUCUGAACCAGCCAAGUAGCGUGAAGGAUGACUGCCCUAUGGGUUGUAAACUUCUUUUAUAUGGGAAUAAAAUGUUCCACGUGUGGGAUUUUGUACGUACCAUAUGAAUCCGGAUCGGCUAACUUCGUGACAGCAGCCGCGGUAAUACGGAGGAUCCGAGCGUUAUCCGGAUUUAUUGGGUUUAAAGGGAGCGUAGGGGGAUUUUUAAGUCAGUUGUGAAAGUUUGCGGCUCAACCGUAAAAUUGCAGUUGAAACUGGCAGUCUUGAGUACAGAAGAGGAGGGCGGAAUUCGUGGUGUAGCGGUGAAAUGCUUAGAUAUCACGAAGAACUCCGAUUGCGAAGGCAGCUCACUGGACUGCAACUGACACUGAGGCUCGAAAGUGUGGGUAGCAAACAGGAUUAGAUACCCCUGUAGUC